CCUACGGGAGGCAGCAGUAGGGAAUAUUGCUCAAUGGUGGAAACCCUGAAGCAGCAACGCCGCGUGGAGGAUGAAGGUUUUCGGAUUGUAAACUCCUUUUUUUAGAGGAGCUAAUGACGGUAUCCAACGAAUAAGCACCGGCUAACUCCGUGCCAGCAGCCGCGGUAAUACGGAGGGUGCAAGCGUUACUCGGAAUCACUGGGCGUAAAGAGCGCGUAGGCGGGAUAGCAAGUCAGAUGUUAAAUCCUAUGGCUUAACCAUAGAACUGCAGUUGAAACUGUUAUUCUAGAGUAUGGGAGAGGUAGGUGGAAUGCUUGGUGUAGGGGUGAAAUGCGUAGAGAUCGAGAGGAAUACUCAUUGCGAAGGCGACCUGCUAGAACAUAACUGACGCUGAUGCGCGAAAGCGUGGGGAGCAAACAGGAUUAGAUACCCCUGUAGUC
rnacentral:rRNA from 1 species